GACGAACGCUGGCGGCAUGCCUUACACAUGCAAGUCGAACGGCAGCACGGGGCAACCUGGUGGCGAGUGGCGAACGGGUGAGUAAUGCAUCGGAACGUACCUUUCAGUGGGGGAUAACGUAGCGAAAGUUACGCUAAUACCGCAUAUUCUGUGAGCAGGAAAGCAGGGGAUCGCAAGACCUUGCGCUGAUUGAGCGGCCGAUGUCAGAUUAGCUAGUUGGUGAGGUAAAGGCUCACCAAGGCGACGAUCUGUAGCGGGUCUGAGAGGAUGAUCCGCCACACUGGAACUGAGACACGGUCCAGACUCCUACGGGAGGCAGCAGUGGGGAAUUUUGGACAAUGGGGGCAACCCUGAUCCAGCCAUGCCGCGUGAGUGAAGAAGGCCUUCGGGUUGUAAAGCUCUUUCGGCCGGGAAGAAAUCGCACGGGCUAAUACCCUGUGUGGAUGACGGUACCGGAAUAAGAAGCACCGGCUAACUACGUGCCAGCCGCCGCAGUAAGAC
rnacentral:rRNA from 1 species